UACGAAGGGUGCAAACGUUGCUCGGAAUUAUUGGGCGUAAAGCGCACGUAGGCGGCUUAGCAAGUCGGAAGUGAAAUCCCUCGGCUCAACCAAGGAAGUGCUUUCGAAACUGCUGAGCUUGAGUACGAAAGAGGAUCGCGGAAUUCCCGGUGUAGAGGUGAAAUUCGUAGAUAUCGGGGAGGAACACCAGUGGCGAAGGCGGCGUCUGGGGUCGAUACUGGACGCUGAGGUGCGAAAGCGUGGGGAGCAAACAGG
rnacentral:rRNA from 1 species